rnacentral:lncRNA from 1 species
UAUGAAUGAUGUAUGUAUGCUGAAUGUAUGCAUGAAUGCUUUAUGUAUGCAUGAAUGCUUUAUGUAUGAAUGAUGUAUGUAUGUAUGAAUGCCAAAGAUCUGCUCACUUAUCUGAUUACCGACCUAACCCAUACUUAAGAAGAAAGAAGAAUGUGCCUUAAUUCAUAUAACAAGACAUGAAACUUUGGAAGAGACAAAUAACCAGGAUUGAUUGCUUUUGUGCUAUCAUUUAGGUUCUGAAAAGUAAAAGAGAGUUUUCUAAGUUUUCAUACCAUUUUUCAUAACUAUUAGCAAGUUUCCAAUACUACUGCAUAAUAACAAAAACUAAAAAGUAUGAAAUGAAAACAACUAACCUGCAAAUUACGAGUGACAUUGUCACAGUGGCAAUCCUGUUCAUCCAUUGUCCCUGAGAGUCAGAAAAAAGUACACAUCCAUAAUGAUUUCUACAAGUUUUGUUAUUAAUCAAACAAAAACCCCACAACACAAAACAAAUUGUGAUAAAAUUAUGAUACUAUCGUAAGUAAAGGAUGGAACAUACACAAAAAGUAAAUUAUGAAUGAUGUCGUAGUUGAUCAGAUCGGUAGUUUCCAAAAUCAAAUUGCUUGAGUUUACAGAGCAAAAGGCACAAUACCUCACGGCGGCAACUACCACCGCGGCGCUAUCACCACGGCCUCUCCCGUCGCUUCUUCUUGAUUGAAACCCGUUCUCGUUCUUAAAGGUCACGAAUCAGAGUCCUCUUGAUAAUCCAGUUUCGCGAUUGUUGAUGAUCUAUCAAAACCCAAAUCGUGUAAAUCACAAAUUAGCAAAAAGUAUUGUAAAAUGUAACAUAAUCGAUCGAUCACUCACAAAAAGUAAAUUAUGAUGAUAUCGUAGUUGAUCGGAUCGGUAAUUUCCAAAAUCAAAUUGCUUGAGUUUACAGAGCAAAAAAGACAAUACCUCACAGCGACAACUACCACCGCCAUCAGAUCUCUCACGACGGCUAUCUUCUCGGCCUCUCCCGUCGCUUCUUCUUCUUCUUCUUCUUCUUAAAAGUC